GAGGCCUAACACAUGCAAGUCGAGCGCACCUUCGGGUGAGCGGCGGACGGGUUAGUAACGCGUGGGAACGUGCCCUUCUCUACGGAAUAGCCAUUGGAAACGAUGAGUAAUACCGUAUACGCCCUUCGGGGGAAAGAUUUAUCGGAGAAGGAUCGGCCCGCGUUAGAUUAGAUAGUUGGUGGGGUAACGGCCUACCAAGUCUACGAUCUAUAGCUGGUUUUAGAGGAUGAUCAGCAACACUGGGACUGAGACACGGCCCAGACUCCUACGGGAGGCAGCAGUGGGGAAUCUUAGACAAUGGGCGCAAGCCUGAUCUAGCCAUGCCGCGUGAGUGAUGAAGGCCUUAGGGUCGUAAAGCUCUUUCGCCAGGGAUGAUAAUGACAGUACCUGGUAAAGAAACCCCGGCUAACUCCGUGCCAGCAGCCGCGGUAAUACGGAGGGGGUUAGCGUUGUUCGGAAUUACUGGGCGUAAAGCGCACGUAGGCGGACUAUUAAGUCAGGGGUGAAAUCCCGGGGCUCAACCCCGGAACUGCCUUUGAUACUGGUAGUCUUGAGUUCGAGAGAGGUGAGUGGAAUUCCAAGUGUAGAGGUGAAAUUCGUAGAUAUUUGGAGGAACACCAGUGGCGAAGGCGGCUCACUGGCUCGAUACU
rnacentral:rRNA from 1 species